GCCUCCUUGGCUCAGUUGGCUAGAGCGCAGGUCUCAUAGCAAUAUGACGUAUUCAUAAUGUGAUGCGAAAUCCUGAGGUCGCAAGUUCGAGCCUUGCAGGGGGCA